CCGGUCGGGUCGGCCCGGUCUUCUCCGGCAACCACGUGUGUUUACGCUGGACUUUUCCUCGGAGCUGAAGCGGUUGUUGGUGUUUCCCUCAUCUGGGCUGCCGAGGUCCUGCAGGGCCGUGAGGACGUCACCAUGCCUAAAGCCCUAAAGGGAAAACUUGUAGGACGGGAAAAAAAAGUCAUCCAUCCAUAUAGUAGAAAAGCAGCUCAAAUUACAAGAGAGGCCCACAAACAAGAAAAAAAGGAAAAAAUUUUCCAUCAGAACACCUGGGGCAGUGUCAAAAUUUUGCAUUUCUAACAAGUUUCAGGUAACGUUGAUGCUAUUGCUGCUUGUUCAGGGACCACACUAUGAGAACCACUGACC